AUUGAACGCUGGCGGCAGGCUUAACACAUGCAAGUCGAGCGGGGGAGGUUGCUUCGGUAACUGACCUAGCGGCGGACGGGUGAGUAAUGCUUAGGAAUCUGCCUAUUAGUGGGGGACAACAUUCCGAAAGGAAUGCUAGUACCGCAUACGCCCUACGGGGGAAAGCAGGGGAUCUUCGGACCCUGCGCUAAUAGAUGAGCCUAAGUCGGACUAGCUAGUUGGUGGGGUAAAGGCCUACCAAGGCGACGAUCUGUAGCGGGUCUGAGAGGAUGAUCCGCCACACUGGGACUGAGACACGGCCCAGACUCCUACGGGAGGCAGCAGUGGGGAAUAUUGGACAAUGGGGGGAACCCUGAUCCAGCCAUGCCGCGUGUGUGAAGAAGGCCUUUUGGUUGUAAAGCACUUUAAGCGAGGAGGAGGCUACCGAGACUAAUACUCUUGGAUAGUGGACGUUACUCGCAGAAUAAGCACCGGCUAACUCUGUGCCAGCCGCCGCCGUAACAC
rnacentral:rRNA from 1 species